rnacentral:lncRNA from 1 species
CUGGUGAUACCCUCGGGGACGAAACGUCCAUCAGCUGUGGCAUCGAAACAAAAACAUACAUCGUUGUUCCCAUUUGAGACAUGUUUCGAACAUAUCAACAUUAGAUCUUGGACAUUUGUACAUUCAUGUUGAAAUAAUGAACAAGACCAUGUGGGGAGAAUCUGAUAUCAACAAACUUUUUUUUGCAACGUCUCGUCCUUUUUUUAUAUGAAUAUGACAGAUAACUCGAUUAAAAUCAGAAAACGUAGAUACAUUUUGUGCUUGGAGAAGCAGUAUUUUUUUCUCUUGUAAAUAAAUUAGACAUUUCUUCGAUAAACUAAGAUUGUCGUAUACAUUAACAUGAGCAACACGACGUGUACCACAUGUGGAGCAGGAUGUCCAAACCCUUCCGGAGCACUUGCGAUAAACCCCAGUUUUUGGUGGGGUUUUUGUUAAUUAUUAUUUAGUUUUCAUGAUGUGUCUUGUGUACUAUUAUUUGUCUGUUUGUCUUUGUCUUUUUUAACCAUGGCAUUGCCAGUUUAUUUUGAUCUAUAAGUUUGACUGUCCCUCUGGUCUCUUUCUCCCCUAUUUGUUAACAGUUUAUUUAACAUCUUUGUUAAUAAAAUAACUAAUGAACAUAUAAACUAUCUCACUUUUAUUGAUAUAUACUUUGCAUUAUUCAUCAUAAACUUAUGUACUGUAAUAUUUAUG